rnacentral:sRNA from 1 species
UACGGACAAGGGGAAUCCGACUG